GAAAAAUCAAAACUUUCAACAACGGAUCUCUUGGUUCUCGCAUCGAUGAAGAACGCAGCGAAUUGCGAUACGUAUCAUGACUUGCAGACGUGAAUCAUCAAUCUUUGAACGCACAUUGCGCCUUGAGGUAUUCCUCAAGGCAUGCCUGUUUGAGCGUCGGCUC
rnacentral:rRNA from 1 species